UACGGAGGGGGCAAGCGUUGUUCGGAUUUACUGGGCGUAAAGAGUUCGUAGGCGGUCGUGCAAGUCUGAUGUGAAAUCUUCGCCGCUCAACGGGAAGAGGUCAUUGGAAACUGCGCGACUUGAGUAUGGUAGAGGCAGACGGAAUUCCUGGUGUAGCGGUGGAAUGUGUAGAUAUCAGGAAGAACAUCGGUGGCGAAGGCGGUCUGCUGGGCCAUCACUGACGCUGAGGAACGAAAGCGUGGGGAGCAAACGGG
rnacentral:rRNA from 1 species